GAGUUUGAUCCUGGCUCAGAACGAACGCUGGCGGCAGGCCUCAAACAUGCAAGUCUAGGGGGUGUAGCAAUACAUCACCGGCGGACGGGUGCGUAACGCGUGGGAAUAUACCUAUUGGUUCGGAACAACUGCGGGAAACUGCAGCUAAUACCGAAUGUGCCCUAACGGGGAAAGAUUUAUCGCCAAUGGAUUAGCCCGCGUAGGAUUAGCUAGUUGGUGGGGUAAUGGCUCACCAAGGCUCCGAUCCUUAGCUGUUCUGAGAGGAAGAUCAGCCACACUGGGACUGAGACACGGCCCAGACUCCUACGGGAGGCAGCAGUUGGGAAUCUUGGACAAUGGGGGAAACCCUGAUCCAGCCAUGCCGCGUGAGUGAUGAAGGCCUUC
rnacentral:rRNA from 1 species